rnacentral:lncRNA from 1 species
UUCCCAUGUAAUUUUGGUCCUGUACUAAGAUUAUUGUAAUUACUCCCUAGGCAUUAAAUUGGUCCUUUGCUUAUUUAAGCAGCUUAAGCUACAAUAUACACAAAAACUCAAACUGAAAUUAUUUAAAAUUGAAUGUUCCUAAAUUUUUCUAAGACUAGGAACCAUAAUUCUCAUUUUAUAGUCGAAGUGUGAUGUAACCCUAACCAGCCUGUGAUGUCAAAAGUAUAUUUAAUAGCUGUAAAUUUUAAAGGACUGGUGAAUUUGCUAUAAUGUCAUAAU